AAUUUCUGCUGUAUUUGACUUUUAUUUUUGGAGCAGGAUGGACUGAAAGAACAUUGACACUGGGUGAGGGAGCUUCCAACUUCCACAAAGGAUCUGAAUUAUGCAGAGAUGGUAGGAUUCAAGCUAAUGAGUUGUGGAGUAUAUCCAUAUAACCUGUUUCUGUAGCCCUGACAGGAGAAUUAAACAUUUGCUAGUUCUUCAGCUCCCAUAGUUCACUGCUGGCAUUCUAGCUUACCUUGUAAAAUGGCAGUUGUGUUCUACUGAUACAAGAGACCAUGAGCUCUUUCAUCUGAAGCACAGGCAGACAGAGGACACAAAGUCAGAUGGGAGUGAGACAAACACUUGGCAGUAACCUAGUAGCUGUAAUAUGUAAAUAUACUGGAAUUCAAGCUUUGGUAUUUAUCCUUAUCCUUGUAAUUUAUUUGUUUUCAUGAUUAAACUUGAAAACUUUGAGAAGAAGAGAUCUGAAAGUGGUAUAAAGUAACUUUUAAGUUGUUUUAAACUCUUUAGCAGUUAUUAGAAUGAGACAGAUGUCUUUAGUUUCUUAUCUAAGAACUGUCAAUUCUGUUGUGUAUAACAAAGUGCAAACAAUACAGUUGUUUGUCAAAUAUUAUGAGGCAUUUGAGUGCUUGCAAUAGGGAUUUGAAAUCCUUGAAAUUAAGUUUGAGGUGGGCAAAGGGAUUCUUCUCUCUGGCUGGCUGAAGGGUAAGAAGACUCCCUAGAAAAUAACUAAGAGUGAAUUUUAAGUCUUAAGUAGGUUUGUACCAUUGUUGUCCCUAGAUUUGGCUGGAGAGUCACACCCUACCUUGAAAGAGACAGACAGGAGAAACUAAUGGGAAGAAUAGAGAUGAGGCCUCUACUAAAAAUGUUACUAAAAUAGCCUUAGAGAGGGGAUGAAAAGAAAACAAGGUUGUUCUCUCUGUUAAAUGGUAUUUAGUCCUGUGGAACUUGAUGACACAUUGGAAGAACAAGGUUCAUGAUACCCAGAAUGGAUGUUCCAGAUGGCUCCACCUUCAAGUGGGCAACUUCCAGAUUAGCUGGGGACUCCCCACAGCAGCUGGGACUCUUGUCAACUGCCCCAAGAAACUUCUGUUGUUGUUGUUCUGCUUUGCACAAUGCGUUAAAUGAAUGUUUUUGCCAUACUAUUUUCUUUAAUGCUGCCCGGUGAGCAACUAGAUACAGAAAAUGGUGUUCUGUUCUGUUAUGUAUGGCCAGUCUUAACUCCAGGGUUUCUAGCACCUCACAGUUGCAUACCUAAUACCCCUUUCCAACAGCUGGUCAGGUAAAGCUGAGUGUAGCAUAUAUGUCUUAGGAAGAAGUGCCUGGUGGGGGUCUUAUUAGCCAGAAAAGUACUGUCUUACCACAGCAAGGGAGGGGCUUUUCCUUACAACCUUCUGAAUGCCAAGGGAGUUACAGUGAUUUUUCCUUAACUCUGCUUUUAGUUACUGCAGCAGAAACUGCACUAAAAUAUUUCUGUUCUCUUGCCUUUAUUUUAUGUCAUUUUUACAGCUCACUUUUUAUGAACAGGAAAAUACCUGUUUUUAAAAAAAAAUACUAAAAAGUGAUGAAACACAAAUAUCUGUCUGAUAUGCUUUGUGGUCUGUUUCCUGCUGCUGUGACCCAUGAUAAAUUAGUUCUGAUGUCUUGCUCUGUUGGCUGAAAGUAACUCAUGGUGUGACAGUGAUGAUAAAACUUCCAAAUGUUUAGUGUAUGUUUAGGCCUGUAAUACCUUAUUUUGCUCAAGCUUUAUUCCUUAUCUUGCUUAAGUAUUGCAAGUGUAAAAAUCUUUCAUGGCUCAAAGAAUGUAUGGUUUAUCUUUCAUGCAUCCUCACUGCAUGUCAUGUGCUGACAAAAUGAAGUGCUAAAGGUGCAUCCUGACUGUGCAAAUCCAAAGAAAACCUGUUGUACAAAUCAGCCUUUUUUACUAGGACACAUUUAUAAUCAUCCAGAUGUAGCUGCAGAGAUUGUUUUGGCACUUUUAUCUUUUUUUUCUUUGAUAUGGUCUUACAAGCUCUGGCAUGAAGAUAGCUAUAAAGCAGCUGGAGAAUGGCAGAUAUCUGUUAAAAAUCAAAUAUGACAUGUUCAUCUGAAUAGGGAUGUGCUUCUUAGUUAUACAACUAUCGUUCUGUAUUUAACUGCAUUUACAAGACAUGUCUUGUUACCUACUUGGGAGUUCACACUCCCAAGGUUAUUCGACACUCCCUCAGGCUAUAAAUUAUGGGCAUGUGCCUACUGAAGUGUGAUUUAUUAUUUUUAUAAAAAAGCCCAACCCUUACAUACCAUGUUUUGCUGGAAAGAGGCUUCUUUGUGCACCAAGCCUUUAAAUUGUGAGCAACCAUUUUACUUACUGAUUUCACUUUUUUGGAUCGUGUUGCUCAGGGAUCUCGGUCAACUCCUCAGACCAUGAAGGGUUUUACUCUUCUUUUCCUAGUUGUUAUCUGUGGCAUGGGAGGACUGGGACAGAAGCUGAAGCCAAAGAAAAGAAGCAAUGGUGAAGAAAUCAAAUUUCGAACUAAAACCAAAGACAUUUGCACAAUGAGCAUUAGUGGGGACGAUGAGGAGAUGAAACUUAGAAUUGAAUGCAAAAGCCAAGACAUGUCCUACUGGUGUGAAUUCACUGGCAAACCAUCAGUCUGUCGUGCUUUCAGAAAUAAUCCAAAGAUUUACUGGAAUCAGAUCGCCGCGGAACUUAGAAAGAUCCCUCAUGCUUGUGAAUCCACGGAAGUGUUGAAGACCUCCAUGUGCCAAAAGGCUCCUCCAGAGGCUCUCAUGAAGCAAAUAGCUACUGGUGUGGAGCCAGAAGAGCUAGCAAACCAGGAAGAAUCAGUGCAGAAAAUGUCCACUUCUAUGAGAGGAGCAGUGCAAGGGUCUGAAAAUGAAACAGAAGCAAUGAAACUGGCACGGGAACAUUGCUGGGAAUCCCUGCAUGGUUUCUGCUCCUACAUUAUUGGCAUCUUUAGGGGUUAAGGACUCACUUCAGGUAAAAUUAGCAUCUGGAAGCACAGUAGAAUAUACCCAACAGUAAUUCUAUUGUACUUUUGUUUUAAAUUUACUUUGAGGAUCUCUCAGGGAUGUGGACAGGGAGGUUCUAGUCUCACUUGCUAAAAUCUGACAUUGCAAAUCCUGUUUUGUGGCUUCUGAGAGGCUGGGCUAAACUUCCAGUGAUGCCUAUUAGUUCAGGAUUCCCUUACAGCCUCACAUGAGGUCUUUAGUACGUACUCAGAUGUUUGCCCUAUCUACUGUUGUUAAUCUUACAGUAUUUCCAUUCUAACUGUUUGAAUUGGGCUAAUUAUUCUCCUUCUGUCACUCCUUCCCUCUUGUGCUGCCUUCUGGAUUUAUGCCAGGGAAGUAAGAUAAAUAACAAAUGCAUCAGAUCCAAAACCAAAUGCACCAGCUAGAACAAAUUAAAACUACAUUCAGAAACUGAGAGGAUUAAGUUUAUUCAUCAAAACUGCUAGUUAAUAAUCAACUAUUUUAAUUUCAACAAUUAGUUCAGAAACAACUUGCAGAAACGAGUAAAACCAAAUGGACUGUCUUGGUUUGUGGGUCUGUUACUGUAGGGUUGACAAGAGACCACAUGCAGGUGCUUGCCUGAGCAAAAUUAUUACAGCUGAAGAAAAGUGCUUGCUGUAGUUUAAUAAUUUAGACCAUAAGAAUUUUGGUUUAAAAACGAGUUAUCUCCAUAAAUCUUGUAGCUGUUCUCUUUUUUUUGCCCCUAAAAUUAAACUUUUUAACAGCCCUGAAAAGUGCAUGAAACUGGAAUGACUGUGUUUAAAGUGUUAGGAUGAACUAACUGUCACUAGACUUGUUACACACCCAGGUGUGCAUUUAAAUAACAGAGGUUCUGCUCUAGGAAUGCUGACCUUGCAUAGGUUUUUGUGUGUGCUGAUUUGCUUUAGUUUGUUAGAGAUUAAAACUGUUAAUGAUGAUACAG